CCUACGGGAGGCAGCAGUGGGGAAUAUUGCACAAUGGGGGAAACUCUGAUGCAGCCACGCCGCGUGCGUGAAGACGUAUUUCGGUAUGUAAAGCUCUAUCAGCAGGGAAGAGAAUGACGGUACCUGACUAAGAAGCCACGGCUAACUACGUGCCAGCAGCCGCGGUAAUACGGAGGGGGCAAGCGUUAUCCGGAUUUACUGGGUGUAAAGGGAGCGUAGACGGCUGUACAAGUCUGAAGUGAAAUCCCGUGGCUCAACCGCGGAACUGCUUUUGCAACUGUUAAGCUGGAGUACUGGUGAGGCAGGCGGAAUGCCUAGUGUAGCGGUGAAAUGCGUAGAGAUUAGGAGGAACACCAGUGGCGAAGGCAGCCUGCUAGACAGAAACUGACGUUGAGGCUCGAAAGCGUGGGGAGCAAACAGGAUUAGAUACCCUUGUAGUC
rnacentral:rRNA from 1 species